UACGAAGGGGGCUAGCGUUGCUCGGAAUCACUGGGCGUAAAGGGUGCGCAGGCGGGUCUUUAAGUCCGGGGUGAAAUCCUGGAGCUCAACUCCAGAACUGCCUUUGAUACUGAGGAUCUUGAGUUCGGGAGAGGUGAGUGGAACUGCGAGUGUAGAGGUGAAAUUCGUAGAUAUUCGCAAGAACACCAGUGGCGAAGGCGGCUCACUGGCCCGAUACUGACGCUGAGGCACGAAAGCGUGGGGAGCAAACAGG
rnacentral:rRNA from 1 species